GACAAACGCUGGCGGCGUGCUUAACACAUGCAAGUCGAACCUUGGCGAACGGGUGAGUAACUCGCGAGUAACCUGCCCUCCUCUCUGGGCUAACUCCGCGAAAUCGGGGCUAAUACUGGCUAGUGGGGGAUGGGCUCGCGGCCUCUCAGUUUGUUGGUGGGGUAGUGGUCACAAAGGCGUGACGGGUAGUAGGCCUGCGAGGGCGACCGGCCACACUGGGACUGAGACACGGCCCAGACUCCUACGGGAGGCAGCAGUGGGGAAUAUUGCACAAUGGGCGAAAGCCUGAUGCAGCGACGCCGCGUGGGGGAUGACGGCCUUCGGGUUGUAAACCUCUUUCGACAGGGAAGCGGUACUUGCAGAAGAAGCGCCGGCUAACUACGUGCCAGCAGCCGCGGUAAUUC
rnacentral:rRNA from 1 species